AGAUUGAACGCUGGCGGCAUGCCUAACACAUGCAAGUCGAACGGGAGUAGCAAUACUCUAGUGGCGGACGGGUGAGGAAUACGUAGGAAUUUGCCCUUAAGUGGGGGAUAACCCGGGGAACCCGGAUUAAUACCGCAUGACCUCGAAAGAGCAAAGUGGGGGAUCGCAAGACCUCACGCUUUUGGAGAAGCCUACGUCGGAUUAGCUAGUUGGUGAGGUAAUGGCUCACCAAGGCGACGAUCCGUAACUGGUCUGAGAGGAUGAUCAGUCACACCGGAACUGAGACACGGUCCGGACUCCGUACGGGAGCAGCAGUGGGG
rnacentral:rRNA from 1 species